rnacentral:rRNA from 1 species
GACGAACGCUGGCGGCGUGCCUAAUACAUGCAAGUAGAACGCUGAAGGAGGAGCUUGCUUCUCUGGAUGAGGUGCGAACGGGGGAGUAACGCGUAGGUAACCUGCCUGGUAGCGGGGGAGAACUAUUGGAAACGAUAGCUAAUACCGCAUAAUAGUAGAUGUUGCAUGACAUUUGCUUAAAAGGUGCAAUUGCAUCACUACCAGAUGGACCUGCGUUGUAUUAGCUAGUUGGUGGGGUAACGGCUCACCAAGGCGACGAUACAGAGCCGACCUGAGAGGGUGAUCGGCCAACCUGGGAAUGGGGCACGGCCCAGACUCCUACGGGAGGCAGCCGUAGGGAAUCUUUGGCCAUGGACGGAAGUCUGACCGCGCCACGCCGCGGGAGUGAAGAAGGUUUUCGGAUCGUAAAGCUCUGUUGUAAGAGAAGAAAGAGUGUGAGAGUGGAAAGUUCACACUGUGACGGUAUCUAAACAGAAAGCGACGGCUAACUACGUG